rnacentral:rRNA from 1 species
GAUGAACGCUGGCGGCGUGCCUAAUACAUGCAAGUCGAGCGAACGGACGAGAAGCUUGCUUUUCUGAUGUUAGCGGCGGACGGGUGAGUAACACGUGGAUAACCUACCUAUAAGACUGGGAUAACUUCGGGAAACCGGAGCUAAUACCGGAUAAUAUUUUGAACCGCAUGGUUCAAAAGUGAAAGACGGUCUUGCUGUCACUUAUAGAUGGAUCCGCGCUGCAUUAGCUAGUUGGUAAGGUAACGGCUUACCAAGGCAACGAUGCAUAGCCGACCUGAGAGGGUGAUCGGCCACACUGGAACUGAGACACGGUCCAGACUCCUACGGGAGGCAGCAGUAGGGAAUCUUCCGCAAUGGGCGAAAGCCUGACGGAGCAACGCCGCGUGAGUGAUGAAGGUCUUCGGAUCGUAAAACUCUGUUAUUAGGGAAGAACAUAUGUGUAAGUAACUGUGCACAUCUUGACGGUACCUAAUCAGGAAGCCACAGCUAACUACGUG